UGCCGGCAGCUUUUGGAGAAGAUGUAUUCGACGUGUUUUAUGUGUAUAACAGUUUAACUUCAAGCUGUUGAAAAGGCAAUAAGAUACGAACGAUAAAAUAUACAUGCAUGCCAUAUGUAUUUACUUUCUUGAGUUGAAUACCUUUUUCUUUAAUUGGAUGCUCUCACGUGUCUGAAGCUUUUCGCAAAGAAAAUCCUUUUGGGAACAUGAGCUAACAGUGAGGGAGUGGGAGACUCUCAAUUUCAAUUCUUGUGGUUUGUUUUUGCAGGCGUUGCCAAAUUAAUUAUACACACACUCGAACUUUACGACUAUUUGAUUACUCUUAUCUGCACUAGCAGCCGCAGCAGCAGUAGCAGCAGCAGCUGGAACUGCAGCCGGUGUGCUGCCUACGACGCAGAAAAUUACAUGGCUGCACUUUUAUGACAAGUCCUUUUUUGUGCAUCCGUUGCUGCGCAAAAGGGCGCACUUCUUCGAGCACUGCUGUGGCCGCAGGAAUAAGCAUAGCAUUUGCCCAAAAUAUUAACCAAGCCACAAUGACACCGGCUGCCUUGCCAUGGCACUUAAGCUCUCGAUUAAUCUAAGUGGAUAGCGCUGUCUAAAAUUUAAAGUUACAAAGUAACACAGUAUAAGUGUUGUACAAUACUUGUAUAGUAUUUAUUAUUUAUAUGUAUGUAUAAUUUUUUUGUUGUACUUAACUACGAUACUGACCUUUAUUGUGAACAAACCUCUGAAUAAAUUUUCAAAA